rnacentral:misc_RNA from 1 species
GAGGAAGAAGAGUUAAAAGGAAAAAGCUCAGAAAAGAGUUCUCAUGCAUGGUCACCAUAGUCCAGAACACCAUAAAGUUCAAAUUUUAACCUCUAGCACCUGAUAUUCAUAGAAACAACAAAAAUUAUAAAACCAUGAUAUAUUCAUAGAAACAACAAAAAUUAUAAAACCAUGAUAAAACAGAACAAAUGGUUAAGCCAGAGCAGAAUAAAUUACAUAUUACAAUUCACCAUUAAACUAGAUCACUUCAGUAUUUACAUGCCAUUUAUAUCUUAUGCUGGUCUUCAUCUUUCAGCAAGAAAUGCACAAACGAGAGAAGUUAGUGAUCACAUCAGUUGUAGUUUAUGGAAAAAGCAAGCUAUCUAUACAACUAGCUUCAUAUUAGUUGGAUUUGUUUAGUUCCCUUUCCCAAGACCACUUUCAUCGCAGGGCAAUGAGCAACUUCAUACAUAGGCCCAAACUCCAAACUAUUUCCAAAUUCAAAGUUCAUAAUAACUUCAUGCAAUCUUUGAAAGAAAAAUCUUUUAAUUUAUUUCUUGAUGUGGAUUAAAGAACUAAAGUGCACAAGAAAAUUGAAAUAGAAACCCCAGGAAAAAAAGUGCCAUCACCUCAUUAGGCUGAAUUGCAUGA